rnacentral:lncRNA from 1 species
AAACUGCAGGAAACAAUGACUAAAAACCACAGUGAAACAAGAGCAGAUAUUAAUGAACCGAAGGAAGAGAUGGGGAAAUUAAAGGCAGAAAUGAAAGCGGACAUCUGUAAAUUAGAGGAUAAAGUGGGAGUAUUGCAGCAGGCCUUGGAGAAAAAUGAAGUUAUAAUAAAAGAGGUAGAGAAAAGAACUGAACCAACGGAAAGGGAAUUAGAAAGGGUGGAUGAAGAUCUAAAAAACGCGAGCAAAGAAAUGGAGGACUCAUUAGUCCUUCUAGAGAUGGACAAGGCAGCAACUUACUUAAGAUUUCAAAAUGUGGCGGAAUCAAAAGAAGAAGACCUGGAAUACUUGAUGGCAGAAAUACUGGCCGGUCUACUGAAGAAGGACAAAGAUGACAUUCAAAAAGAGUUUGAUGAAGUUUACCAGGUCAGUACAAAUUACGCAAGACGCCACAAAUGCUCUAGAGAAGUCCACAUACGAUUCACUAGAAGAUGUGUCCGAGAUAUGAUAUAUAGAACCUCUAGAGAUAAAACAAUAAUGUAUAAAGGUAAAGAAAUUGUGAUCCUUAAACAGAUACCGAGAAGAGUAAAGGAACAAAGGCGUGAUUAUAAGUUUCUGGCAGCUUAUUUAAACCAAAAAAGAAUUACAUUCAAAUGGCUUAUUCCAGAAGGGAUGCUAGUGUCGUGGAAAGAGAGGAAAAUUAAAAUAGACACUAUGGAAAAAGCUCAGGACUUUUAUGAACAGAUGGUGGGCCCGCAGGAGCAAAGUAGUAGGGAGGAAUUGGAAACAAAUUCUCAGGAAGAAUAUGGUGGACACAAAAAUAGAACCGAAACUGUAGGGAACCAAGAGAACACUCAUUUACAACAAAAGACAGAAGGAACCACACAAACACAAACACAAGGAGAGAUAGGAAUUGUUACACGACAAAGAGCAAAACAGAACUAAAUAAAUGGGAGAAGAAAAAAAAUUACUAUCAAUAAAUAUAAAUGGUUUAAAUUCGACA